rnacentral:rRNA from 1 species
GACGAACGCUGGCGGCGUGCUUAACACAUGCAAGUCGAACGGAAAGGCCCUGCUUGCAGGGUACUCGAGUGGCGAACGGGUGAGUAACACGUGGGUGAUCUGCCCUGCACUUCGGGAUAAGCCUGGGAAACUGGGUCUAAUACCGGAUAGGAGCCAUUUUUAGUGUGAUGGUUGGAAAGUUUUUUCGGUGUAGGAUGAGCUCGCGGCCUAUCAGCUUGUUGGUGGGGUAAUGGCCUACCAAGGCGGCGACGGGUAGCCGGCCUGUGAGGGUGGACGGCCACAUUGGGACUGAGAUACGGCCCAGACUCCUACGGGAGGCAGCAGUGGGGAAUAUUGCACAAGGGGCGCAAGCCUGAUGCAGCGACGCCGCGUGGGGGAUGACGGCCUUCGGGUUGUAAACUCCUUUCGCUAGGGACGAAGCUUUUUGUGACGGUACCUAGAUAAGAAGCACCGGCUAACUACGUG